rnacentral:rRNA from 1 species
CAAUAGCGUAUAUUAAAGUUGUUGCGGUUAAAAAGCUCGUAGUUGGAUUUCUGCUGAGAACGACCGGUCCGCCCUUUGGGUGUGUAUCUGGCUCUUUCUUGGCAUCUUCUUGGUGAACGUUGCUGCACUUGACUGUGUGGAGCGCUACCCAGGACUUUUACUUUGAGGAAAUUAGAGUGUUUCAAGCAGGCAUACGCCUUGAAUACAUUAGCAUGGAAUAAUAAGAUAGGACCUCGGUUCUAUUUUGUUGGUUUCUAGAGCUGAGGUAAUGAUUAAUAGGGAUAGUUGGGGGCAUUAGUAUUCAGUUGCUAGAGGUGAAAUUCUUGGAUUUACUGAAGACUAACUACUGCGAAAGCAUUUGCCAAGGAUGUUUUCAUUAA